UACGGGGGGGGCAAGCGUUGUUCGGAAUUACUGGGCGUAAAGGGUGUGUAGGUGGCGCCGUAAGUCGGGUGUGAAAUUUCGGAGCUUAACUCCGAAACUGCAUUCGAUACUGCGGUGCUUGAGGACUGGAGAGGAGACUGGAAUUCAUGGUGUAGCAGUGAAAUGCGUAGAGAUCAUGAGGAAGACCAGUGGCGAAGGCGGGUCUCUGGGCCUUACCUGACGCUGAGGAGCGAAAGCGUGGGGAGCGAACAGG
rnacentral:rRNA from 1 species